rnacentral:rRNA from 1 species
AUUGAACGCUGGCGGCAGGCUUAACACAUGCAAGUCGAGCGGAGAUGAGGUGCUUGCACCUUAUCUUAGCGGCGGACGGGUGAGUAAUAUGUAGGAAUAUACCUAUAGGUGGGGGAUAACUACUCGAAAGAGUAGCUAAUACCGCAUAAUAUCUACGGAUUAAAGCAGGGGAUCGUAAGACCUUGUGCCAAUAGAAUAGCCUACAUCCGAUUAGCUAGUUGGUAGAGUAAAAGCCUACCAAGGCAACGAUCGGUAACGGGGCUGAGAGGAUGAUCAGUCACACUGGAACUGAGACACGGUCCAGACUCCUACGGGAGGCAGCAGUGGGGAAUUUUGGACAAUGGGCGAAAGCCUGAUCCAGCAACGCCGCGUGAGUGAUGAAGGCUUUCGGGUCGUAAAGCUCUGUCGAGGGGAAAGAAGUGUACUUUGGCUAAUACCCAUUGUACUUGACGGUACCCCUAAAGGAAGCACCGGCUAACUCCGUGCCAGCCGCCGCAGUAAGAC